rnacentral:snoRNA from 1 species
CUUCAUUAUGAUGAUAACUUUACUCAGCUCACUCAGAUUUCAUAUGAUUGACAAAAUUUACCUAUCCAACAUUCAUCAAAUUAUCUGAAUAGAAG